rnacentral:rRNA from 1 species
GGGUAACCUGCCCAAGAGAUCGGGAUAACACCUGGAAACAGAUGCUAAUACCGGAUAACAACAGAUGAUGCCUAUCAACUGUUUAAAAGAUGGUUCUGCUAUCACUCUUGGAUGGACCUGCGGUGCAUUAGCUAGUUGGUAGGGUAACGGCCUACCAAGGCGAUGAUGCAUAGCCGAGUUGAGAGACUGAUCGGCCACAUUGGGACUGAGACACGGCCCAAACUCCUACGGGAGGCAGCAGUG